rnacentral:rRNA from 1 species
UACGUAGGGUGCAAGCGUUAAUCGGAAUUACUGGGCGUAAAGCGUGCGCAGGCGGUUAUGUAAGACAGGUGUGAAAUCCCCGGGCUUAACCUGGGAACUGCAUUUGUGACUGCAUAGCUAGAGUACGGUAGAGGGGGAUGGAAUUCCGCGUGUAGCAGUGAAAUGCGUAGAUAUGCGGAGGAACACCGAUGGCGAAGGCAAUCCCCUGGACCUGAUGACAUCGACGCUCAUGCACGAAAGCGUGGGGAGCAAACAGGAUAGAAAACCCUCGUGAGUCCAGAUCCAAGACC